UACAGAGGUCUCAAGCGUUGUCCGGAUUCAUUGGGCGUAAAGAGCUCGUAGGCGGCUGUUCAAGUCGAACGUGAAAACUCGGGGCUCAACUCCGAGCCUGCGUUCGAUACUGGAUGGCUAGAGUCUGGUAGGGGGAUCUGGAAUUCCUGGUGUAGCGGUGGAAUGCGCAGAUAUCAGAGGAACACCGGUGGCGAAGGCGGGAUCCUGGGCCAGUACUGGACGCUGAGGAGCGAAAGCGUGGGGAG
rnacentral:rRNA from 1 species